rnacentral:lncRNA from 1 species
CAACAACCCAACCCACAACCACCUGACCCACAACCUGACCAACAGCCUGACCCACAGCCUGACCCACAAGCACCUGACCCACAACCGGACCCACAACCGUCUGACCCACAACAACCCAACCCACAAAACCCAGACCCACAACCUGACCAACCACCUGACCCAAAACCUGACCCACAACACCCCGACCCAUAACCGGACCCACAACGCGACCCACA